CUCCGUGUACUCUGCCCUAGAUAAGCCGGGAGAGGCGGCCCAGCCUUCUUCAGCCAGAGUCCUUGUCCAGCCGCGAGGCCACCAGUGCCCUCUCCCUGCCCUCUGCACCCCCAUCCCGGCCCCGCGACCCCCAGAUGAGGAGUUGGGGUGAAGAGGCGCAGGUCCUAGAAGCUAGGGGCUCGGGCGAGGCACGUGACUUCUGUGAGCCUCGGGUCUGACUCCGCGAGACGCCAGGAAUGGAAAGCGUUCCUGGGCGCAGCUCCGGGAGCCUGGUCAUUGUCGUUAAAUGAGUGUUGUUGACUUGGAGCCCUGGCUCCGGAAGCCUCCCUGCCCCGCGCCCCUCCCCUGACCUUCAGCUGCGGACACCGGGCGGUGCGGCAGGCCGAGGGCCAGAGGUCCCCGCUCGGCGGCCCGCGGACCCAGUCCCCAGCGCGGGCGGCAGCGGCUGCAGGUGCGCGGUGGGGGCGGGGCCCCCGCGCCG
rnacentral:lncRNA from 1 species